CAAGAUGCCCAGUUGAAUUCGUAUUUCAGAUAAGCAGUGAAUAAAUUUUAGUUUAAGUAUACUCCAUGAAAUAUUUGGGACAUACCUAUACUAAAAAUCAUUCGUCAUUUACCUGAAAUUCAAAUUUAACUGGACACCAG
rnacentral:miRNA from 14 species